rnacentral:piRNA from 1 species
CUGAAGACAAAGAGAACUAUAAG